rnacentral:rRNA from 1 species
CAGUCGCCGCGGUAAUACGAAGGGGGCUAGCGUUGUUCGGAUUUACUGGGCGUAAAGCGCACGUAGGCGGAUCGAUCAGUCAGGGGUGAAAUCCCAGAGCUCAACUCUGGAACUGCCUUUGAUACUGUCGAUCUGGAGUAUGGAAGAGGUGAGUGGAAUUCCGAGUGUAGAGGUGAAAUUCGUAGAUAUUCGGAGGAACACCAGUGGCGAAGGCGGCUCACUGGUCCAUUACUGACGCUGAGGUGCGAAAGCGUGGGGAGCAAACAGGAUUAGAUACCCCGGUAGUCCCUGUCUUUUAUAC